GGCUGCAAGUAGCCUUGGAAAUGCCAGAUUCACGUGUCCUAACUGGGGGUCCUUGAGGGGCCAGGAGGAAAUUUCUGGGGAAACAGGGUGUUUGAAAUCAUGCCAGAGGAGAUCCCCAAGGACUACCUCUUGCUGGCGAUCGUGGCCUACUUCCUGUGCUGUCCCCUAGGCACUGUAGCCUUGUACUAUUCUUCCCAGGUGGGAAUCUGUUUCUGCUACUUGUCAAUCCUUGCCCUCCUCUCUCUUCACCCAGUCCCUGUUCCUGAACCAGCUUAUCUAUGUUCUCCCCCUGUUGGUUCAGGUCCCUACCUCGGGUCCUUAUUGACUUUUUCCAAGUUCAGUCCUAUCCAAGUACCCUCUCCAGUCGCUUUUCAGUCCAUCCAUUCCUGUUCACCUCUCCCUCCUCAACUCAGACAAGGAAGUACAAGAGAAAGGAAGAAUAUGAUCUGGCAAAGGAGUCCUCCGAUAAAACUUUCUCCUUUGGACUCGCAGCAGUUAUCUUGGCAGUCAUCUCUCUCAUCAACUUUGUGAUUGUAGUAAUAACGGCCUUACCUCGGUAACUCCCUCUCUAGCUCAAAAGAAAACAACAACAACCACACCAAAUAUACACAACAAUAUCCAUCUGAGUCAAA